rnacentral:rRNA from 1 species
UACGUAGGGGGCAAGCGUUGUCCGGAUUCAUUGGGCGUAAAGAGCGUGUAGGCGGCCAGAUAGGUCAGCUGUGAAAACUCGAGGCUCAACCUCGAGACGUCGGUUGAAACCAUCUGGCUAGAGUCCGGAAGAGGAGUGUGGAAUUCCCGGUGUAGCGGUGAAAUGCGCAGAUAUCGGGAAGAACACCCGUGGCGAAGGCGGCUCUCUGGGACGGUACUGACGCUGAGGAGCGAAAGCGUGGGGAGCGAACAGG